CGAACUACCUUGGCCAUUCCUCAGGAGACGAGCAGGACCUUAGCCUUAGGAGGCACCAGGGCUGUCCUUCUGUUGGACACUCUUCAAAAAAUUUCUUAAGAACAGAAGGAAAAUGCACUACUGAGGGAAAAAUGCAUUCGGGAUGACAACUGUCACUUCGAUCUACCACUGCCACCACUGUAUCAGAAUCCCAUCGUUCAAACACAGAUAAUUCCACAACAGAAAGCAGUUUGGGGUUUGGGUCUUGAAGUUGCCUGGGCUGAGAUUCUCAGACUGUGAGUGGCUCCCAGGCACCCAGGGGGUGAACCUGGCUCACUCUGCUCCUCUAAACGCAGUGACUCCAGGCCGACAGCAGUGCAAUGCUGAGCAGAAUUGGGCCCAGAUUCUUUACUUUUGCGUUGUCAUUCAGAAUUUUCUACCUUUUUGUUAUGUGUGUAUUCUAAUAACCUGGUGCAGAAGAAAUCUGAAGACCAUCCCUCAUUGAACACAUAUAAAAGUCACAUCACAAUAUCAUAUAGGCUUGCUAGAGCAAAUAAUUUAAAAAGAAAAUAAUCAGCUUCAGAUAAAUGUUUAUAAAAGUAGCACAGCUGCACAUAUUUGUUACAAAUGCAAGACAGUACUGAAACUUUCCUAGGACUAACCCUUUAGUGUCUCUAUGACAGCAUCGAAUUUAAAUAAAAAGUGCCAAAAUUAUGAUUAUUUUUUCAACAAAUCAAUUCCUGUCACAUCUUCAGGCUGUUAUAGAGUAUUUGCUACUGUAUCUAAAAAUAUGUAUAUAUUCAUUCUCAUGCAAAUUUACAGCAUUUUGGGAAGUUUUCUGCUAAAACACCACAUUACAAUAUAAUCAAAUAAUAACUGUUCAUGCAUUUUUUUGAUUACAGCAUGAGAAAAAUAGAUUAGAUAUCAGAAGAAUGCCUUAAAACUGUGGUGAGAAAGGCAAUUACUGUUAAGAUGCACAAAUCUUGUGGGUUCUUUUGAAGCAGUUUGAAACAUUAGUAACUGUCUACAAGAAAGAAAAAUAGCAUUUUUCUUUUACUAAGGCACCUUGCUAUUUUGGCAAGUAAGUUAAAAUAUAUUAGCCAUUCCAUCAGAUGGCUUGAGAGAAAAACUAACUGCGAUCAGGCAAAACGAAUUAGAGGAGCAUUAAUAAAGAUUAUCAGCAAAAGAAAAUAAGGUCAAAAUUAGAACUCUGCAUUUUAAAGCCACCUCUCAAAAAUGCAAGCUGCUUUGCCCAACGAUAAAAUCCAUUCAUUUUCCUAAUCAUGCAAUCUACCAAUCUCCAUUAUCUCCAGCUAGCUAGCUAUAAACAUGCUAUAGACCAGAGUGAAAGAGGGAGAGUGUGAGGUUGAGAGACGGGGAGAGGGAGAGGGAGAGAGAGAGAGAGAGAGAGAGAGAGAGAAAGAAAGAAAGAGAGAUUACUACACCCAGCCUUUUAUAAAGCCGUUUCUUUCAUUAUAACAGGUCUUUUCAUCAAAAUGACACAGAACCUUUAAAUUUGGGCAUAAUAGUCCAGUACAGUACACAGCUAUAGCUUAAACCUGAUUUAGAACCUGCUCCAGAAAGAAAACAAACUCCCUCGUUUGACACACAAAUUGUUUACGAUUCAUUAAAAAGCAAAAUUGCAUAUCACAGUGCUGGCAGCUGAGUCCAUAUGGGUGCAAGGGGUAUUCACUCAUCUCUUUGUAUGCUGGCAGUACCAAACCGAAGUUUAGCACUAUGCAGCUGAGAUUUUGUGCAGCCAGACGAUGCAUGAGUGGGAAUUGCUUAGGACUUUUUUGAAAGACUGCAAAUGUAUGAUUUUAGAUCUGUUCCUAAUUUGGGAGGCGUUUUCCUUGGGAAGCCUGUACUUAGAUGAGUUACGAAGAGGAUUUCCUUAUCUCAAACAGUGACAAUUAGUUCAAAUGCCAUGUGAGAGCAGGCAGUCGAUUUUUGGACAGCCUCUGAACUAAUGCAAAGUUGCUGACAAUGAAUGCGUGUUCUAGCUUUUGGAAAUCCUAUAAUCCUGGCUUCAAUCAAGAGGAUCUGCUGUUGCUAAAGGCGUAAACAAGAGGAAAAGCAGCAUGUGACCACUGCACCUUCAAGGAUUCUUGAGCCAACAGUAAAGCUUCUGCUGGGCACUUGAGGUGACACACACAUUUUGGAUUAUCUUAUUGAACCUAGGGAAAGAAGUUCUUUCCCCUCCCCGGGAAAGUUGUCUUCGGUCUUUGCAUUCACCCUCUAGCUCUGUUGUAUGUAAUUCCCCGCAUUUUCCCCUCACUACUCUGAUUUGCUUCCUGCCAUCUGCAUUCCCCAUUGUCCCUCAUCUGUAACAAGCACCAAGAUCCUGCUUCUGGCGGUAUGGACACGUGGACAUCAAAGAUGACGCUGUGACUUCAUGUCUGAAGGAAACAGGAGGAGGAGCAGCUGAAAGGAGUGAAGAAGGAAUGACACACACAAACAUUUUAAAUAAAAAAAAUUCUUCUCUAUCAAUCUGAAAUGUAAAGGAACACAAAACAGUUGUAUUUUGAAGUUUAAAUAUAACCAACUAUUUCCUAAUCUGUGGCCUUAACUCAAUGGCAAAGCUCAGCAUGCUCUCCAGCUGAGAGGCACCAGCCCUAGCAGCUUGUUUUCUGCUGGCUCCAGGCUGUGGGACAGCCAGCCCAACCUCCUUGGAAGCAAAGGCUUAAUGCUCAUAUCUGGGAGAAGACUUCAGAGGGAAAGAAGGACUUCUGCCCCAUAAAUAAAUAAUUUAAGUCAAUGCAAAUUCAUAGAAAGCAAAAGUAUAAUUCUAAACUACAACAUUUUCUUUGAUGCAGUUGGAUUAAAGCUUAGGUGGGAAUGCAGGAUGUUUCCUUUACAACUUGAACUAUUUAUUUUAGCUCUGACAUAACAGGGCAUUUCGAAGAUACUGGUUUCCUACCAUCUCCAGAGCCACAGCAAAACUCUAAUAGGAAGAUUCAUAACUUGUAGGAUAGCAGCUCAAGAAAACUAAAAGGUUAAUAUAUUCUAACUAGAUGUUGGGUAUAGAAUGUCAGAUCUGUCAAAUUUCAUUACAGUUUGCUGCUCAAUGAAAAAGAUUUGAUUUCUUUUGCCACUGUCCUACUAUGUUCAAGUCACACAGUGCCAGCAGCAACCAGCCAACGACCACAGGCUGGCACUGAGCGGGCCCGAGUGGGAAGCCAGCCGCAAGGACCAUCUGUUUCCGAUUUCUAGCGAAGCCAAGAUGUGCAGUGAAGUGCAUUCCAUUCACUCAGCCAGCCUUCUCCCUGCUCAAGUUAUUAGUGUUACAAGUGAAAUUAUCUUUUCCAAACAGCGGGGGAGCUAUAAUCCUUAUGGAACAAGACUUCAAAAAAAGGAAAAAAAGGGGGGAAAAAAUAGGACAGGGAAAUGCCCCUUCAACACCCUCCCUCCCUGAUUCAAAGACAUUUUGUUAAAAUUGUUGAUGACAGUUUGUAAAUUUAAUUGCCAUAUUCAUGAGUUUUAUCAUUUUAAAAGAUAUCUUAUUAAAAACUAUAUUCUUUAAUGCAAGAAUGUGUGUAUGCAUUCACGGGAUCUAAUGCAAUAACUCAUUCAAAUGUAUUUAGAGUGCUCAUUUAUGAAUAAAGUUAAAAAUGACAAGAUGAAUGCUCA